AUUUGGGUCCAGAAGAUAUUCUCUUUAUAGUCUUGAGAAGCACAAUAAUCAAUUCCUUUAAGAGAGAAAAAUGUGUUUUUUUCCAAACAUAUUGCACGGAAAAGAUAAGGCAGCUUCUCCCUAGGGAGAUGGGAAGAACAAACAGUGUUGUCAACACAGGAAGGCUGCUGUAGAGGUGGACACAUCCCCCUGCCACCCUGAUUAGAGGAAGCCAGGAAGUAAGGGCGGUUUACUUGGAAACUACAAUGAGAACCAUGCUGCAGCCCCAAGUGGGGAAGGGGAGAAGCAACCUAAUCCGGGGAAGGCUGUGAUUCCAACAUGGCAUUUUCCUUCCAUCCUCCACAGCAUGUCUUUCUGAAUCUGUGUCUGCAAUGCCAGGGAAGAGCCAUCAGGCCUGUGCUCCCCAAAACAGAGCUGAAGAGUGGACCUCAGGAACCUGGUAAAGAUUUAGAAUGAGAGAAAAAAACUAUAGAACUAUGAAUUCAGACUGACUCUAGGGUAAAAAAAAUGAGUUUGUAUGGUAGAUUUGCACUGUGCAAAUUUAGCUAAGCAGGAGCUAUGUUUCCCAGGAUCCCUGUCUCUGCAUAAUUUCAGGUUAGCGUGGGCCACCAGAAACACACAUGAUGGGAUUUGGAAGGCUGAAGUUAAGCGUCAAUCACAUUCCUUUAAAGCACUGAAGAUCGGUGCAGGCAAAAGUGCAGAGCACAGGCACCACUGCAGCUCACCAAGUGAUUUCUGCUCUCUGGCUCACAUUAUUGACAUUGAGCAGAAGCCGGGCAUGCAGCUUCAUCAGCUCUCACCAGAUUUGCUUCCUUCAGUUUCUCCAGCUCCUGGGUCAGUUACAUGUUUAGCAACAUGAUGAAGCAAAGCAGUUUCUCUUGCAGGUCACUGGCAUCAUUGAAUUUGGAGGCUUCAAGACAGAGGCUGAAAAACAGUUUGCCUCUGUGAUUUCCAGCCUGUCCCCCUGAAUUCCAAUUUAUCAUUUCUCUCCAACAUUUCAUGUCUGUCUUUCCUUCUCGAUGUCCUGCUCUGCUAACUUCAGUCUCCAAUGCAAGACAUAGAAGCAACAGCCACACAUAAACUGUUUAGUCAGCUCCCAUAAUUGGGAAAAGUAAAAUAUUUGCAAUAAACAAUUGAUUCUACAUCACUUCCUGUGGUUCUGUUUCUCUGGGCAAACCCAACUUGAUACCAUCUGAAUAGUAGAAGUGAACCCACCAAUGUUCUUUGUGCUGGAAUUGACCUGGUUGUUAACCUAACUGGAUGAUUUGAUAGAGGCAAGAUAGAACAAUUGAGAUUUCUGACAAAGUUGUCAGGGAAAUAUAAUUGUAAAAUUGAAGAAUGGAACAGGAGCAGAUGGCAAUAAAUACCCAUGCUGAAGCAAUGAAAAUGACAGUUGGAAACCUUGAGAAUUCUGAAUUAAAUGUUUGGAGGAAGUCUUGGAAAAUCCUCAAAAGUUUGUUGAAGGGAACAAACUUUUGCUGCUGGCCAUGAAGGAGUAAAUGGAACUGGACUUGUUUGUACACCAUAAAAACUAGAAAACUAAACAAAAAAUACACGAAACAAUUUUCAAACAUUGGGC
rnacentral:lncRNA from 1 species